rnacentral:lncRNA from 1 species
UUGGCUAAUUUCCAUCAUGCACCCUAGCCUGAUAACUGUUGGAUUUGCCACGUCAAUUAAUGAGGCUAGAUCUAAUGCUCCGUGUUUUUUCUGAUUUUAUUUCUUUUUUAUUUUUUAUUUCAAAUUGAAUUUUCUUUUAAAAUUCAUAGUAAAUUCAUUUUACAUCCAAAAGAUCCCAAAAUAAUUUCUAAAAUUCUCUUUCAUUU